AGCGGGCCGGGCAGCAGUCCCCGGCGGGACCUUCGGGCCGGGGCUGGAGAGGAAGGGCAGGUGUGAAAGGAGGAGCCUCUAUGAGCCCCCCGGUAGGCACGCUUGAGCCCGAUUUACCGGCACCCGCCUGUGCCUCACUAGAGGUAUCCUUGACAGGGUUGAUGGGAAAAUAUAAGACAUCUAGUUAAAAUAAGCAGCUCGAGCAUAAUUCAGCUGCUUUCCAGAAUUCUCCCCAGGGGUAAACCCACCCCAGCUGGAAAGAAGGUGCAGUCCACGCUUCAGGGUUUUUUUCUCUUGAAGCCUUCUUCCAGCCUGCAGUGCUCAUCCUGUCAUUUGCCACGGAAAUAAAGGCUCUGGUUUAUUCUAGGUGAAAAAGGAGCGGGGUGAAUACGGUCCACAUAGGAUUUAACGGCUAGAAGAAAUGUGGCACACAGCAAGAGAAAGCUUGUUGGGAUGCCCAUGUUCCUAUGAGCUUGGACGAAUGCUUUCUAGUAGUCUGUGACCUUACAGUGAUGGGAACAAAAUUAAAAUCUUUGAUGAAAUGUCAUAAGAGCCACCAUAAAUGUCUCAAGAUCUUCUUCAAAGCAGGUCAUCA
ensembl:lncRNA